AGGAACCAGAGCCCGGGCUGAGUCCCAAAAAAGCCGGAUCCGGACCGUGGCUCCAAAACGGUUGGAAGUGGAAGAUGGAGGAGCCAGAGGAGCCGGCAGAUGGUGGGCAGUCGCUACCUCCAGUUUACAUCUACAGUCCGGAGUAUGUCAGCUUGUGUGACUCCCUGGCCAAGGUCCCCAAACGGGCCAGUAUGGUACAUUCUCUGAUUGAAGCAUAUGCACUGCAUAAGCAAAUGAGGAUAGUGAAACCCAAAGUGGCCUCCAUGGAGGAGAUGGCUACAUUCCACACUGAUGCCUAUCUGCAGCAUCUCCAGAAAGUGAGCCAAGAAGGAGAUGAGGAUCAUCCGGACUCCAUAGAAUAUGGGCUAGGUUAUGACUGUCCAGCCACUGAAGGGAUAUUUGACUAUGCAUCAGCUGUAGGAGGGGCUACAAUGACAGCUGCCCACUAA